rnacentral:lncRNA from 1 species
AAUAUUUAAGAAUGUAGCGACUGAUCACCCACCACCCCGUGUACAAAUAAUGAAAGCAUCCAAUUCAAAACGCGAGGUUUUUGUGUAGUGUGUAACCAACUACGGCUGCAGAAUAUACAGAGUCUAUGGUGUUGAUGGAAAGGAUUGUUUACCUAGAGGCAGCUUGGUAUGACAUCACAAAGCAUUCUGUUUGAUUAACAGGUAAUAGAUACUGCAGACACUAGCAAAUUAUACUUACCUAGCAGUUGCCGUAUUCCAGCCAUGGAGUCAUAAUCUUAGAAUAAAGGUCUCGGUGUUUAGGUGAAUCUGAGGAAAGUCCAAAAUAUUGCAACUGUUCCAGUUGUUAAAAUUGUAAGCAAAGAUGUAUGCUGGCUUAAACACAUCAACAAGACAACAAAACACUCAUUUCAUAUGCUGGCUCCAGUGAUGUUAAUUCAGCUGCAGAUACUUCUGUUCUCAAAUAUGUAUCAACAGUACCUGUGUCAGAUGUACUGGCAAACAUGUUAUAUCUUCAAUUUUGUCGAGCCCGCUUGCGGAAGCAAAGAUAGAUGUCCAAAUGGCUGUUCUGUGUAUGUGCGUGUGUGCGUGCGUCCGUCUGUCAGGAUUUGUUUGUCCGGACCAUAACUGACAUGCGUGGAG